UGGGGAAUAUUGCACAAUGGGCGAAAGCCUGAUGCAGCGACGCCGCGUGAGGGAUGACGGCCUUCGGGUUGUAAACCUCUUUCAGUAGGGACGAAGCGCAAGUGACGGUACCUACAGAAGAAGCACCGGCCAACUACGUGCCAGCAGCCGCGGUAAUACGUAGGGUGCGAGCGUUGUCCGGAUUUACUGGGCGUAAAGAGCUCGUAGGCGGUUUGUCACGUCGUCUGUGAAAACCCGAGGCUUAACCUCGGGCCUGCAGGCGAUACGGGCAGACUUGAGUACUGUAGGGGAGACUGGAAUUCCGGGUGUAGCGGUGGAAUGCGCAGAUAUCAGGAGGAACACCGGUGGCGAAGGCGGGUCUCUGGGCAGUAACUGACGCUGAGGAGCGAAAGCGUGGGUAGCGAACAGG
rnacentral:rRNA from 1 species